rnacentral:rRNA from 1 species
GACGAACGCUGGCGGCGCGCUUAACACAUGCAAGUCGAACGGAAAGGCCUGCUUUCCCUUGUGGAUUGCGGGUACUCGAGUGGCGAACGGGUGAGUAACACGUGAGUGAUCUGCCCCCAACUUGGGUAUAAGCCUGGGAAACUGGGUCUAAUUCCCGAUAGGACUGCAGGGUGGUGCCUGUGGUGGAAAACGAUUUUCUAGUGGUUGGGGAUGAGCUCGCGGCCUAUCAGCUUGUUGGUGGGGUAAUGGCCUACCAAGGCGGCGACGGGUAGCCGGCCUGAGAGGGUGGACGGCCACAUUGGGACUGAGAUACGGCCCAGACUCCUACGGGAGGCAGCAGUGGGGAAUAUUACACAAUGGGCGGAAGCCUGAUGCAGCGACGCCGCGUGGGGGAUGACGGCCUUCGGGUUGUAAACUCCUUUCGACCGCGAGGAAGCCACCUGGUUGGAAGGGUGGUGACGGUAGUGGCAGAAGAAGCACCGGCUAACUACGUG